ACUAUUUUGGCAGAAAAAUGUGAUGAUUUUAGAAAUCAUAAAUAUAUAAUUUAUUAUAUAUAUAGUA
rnacentral:tRNA from 1 species